CGCACUACAUCUGUAUAGUCCAUUUCAAAUACGAAGGCCCGAUGGCACUUGAGACGGUCAAUUAGCGUUAACAAUAGGAUUAGUGAUAACAAAAGAUACCUGAUUGCACCGACAAAAAGAUUGCACCGACGCGUGCCAAUUUGAAGUGGGCCUAAUUAGAUAACAAAAGGCAAACAUUAUGAGCCCUAUUGUUAAGUUUCGAGUGCCAUCGGGCCUUCGUAUUUGAA